rnacentral:tRNA from 1 species
UGUAGCUUACUGGUAAAGCAUUUGCCUAGCAUGCAAAGGCCUGGGUUUGACCCCCAGUA